rnacentral:rRNA from 1 species
AACGAACGCUGGCGGCGUGCCUAACACAUGCAAGUCGUGCGAGAAAGUUCCUUCGGGAGCGAGUAAAGCGGCGCACGGGUGAGUAACACGUAGGUAACCUGCCCCCCAGUCUGGAACAACUAGAGGAAACUCUAGCUAAUGCCGGAUGAGACCACGAUCCCUUCGGGGGUUGCGGCCAAAGAUGGCCUCUACUUGUAAGCUAUCGCUGAGGGAUGGGCCUGCGGGCCAUUAGCUUGUUGGUGAGGUAACGGCUCACCAAGGCUGUGAUGGCUAGCUGGUCUGAGAGGAUGACCAGCCACACUGGGACUGAGACACGGCCCAGACUCCUACGGGAGGCAGCAGUGGGGAAUAUUGCGCAAUGGGCGAAAGCCUGACGCAGCGACGCCGCGUGGGCGAUGAAGGCCUUCGGGUCGUAAAGCCCUGUCGCAGGGGAAGAAUAAGCAUCGGUAUAAUACGCCGGUGCCCUGACGGUACCCUGCAAGAAAGCACCGGCUAACUCCGUG